ACGGAUUCACUCACGCAACUCGUUACUUUCAUCGCGCGAUGUCGUAACUGUCGCGCCAUGAACUACCGUCAUGCAUUCCACGCCGGAAACUUCGCCGAUGUCAUCAAGCACAUCGUGCUGGCGCGCAUCCUCACCUAUCUGCACGAGAAGCCCGCCGCGUUUCGUGUGAUCGACACCCAUGCCGGCGCCGGGCUGUACGACCUGACGGGCAGCGAAGCCGAGCGCGGCGGCGAAUGGCGCACGGGCAUCGCGCGGCUGAUGCAGGCGCGGUUGUCCGAACCGGUGAUGGCGCUGGUCGCGCCCUAUCUCGACAUCGUCCGCGCGUUCAAUCCGCAGCGCGAUCUCACCGCCUAUCCGGGAUCUCCGUUGAUCGCGCGCGCGCUGCUGCGGCCGCAGGACAGGCUGGUCGCCUGCGAACUGGAGCCCAAUGCGCGCAAGCAACUGAUCAGCGCAUUGCGCCGUGACGAGCAGGCGCGCGUGG
rnacentral:misc_RNA from 1 species